CCAUUUUUUAAUCGUCAGCACAUUUUUUCCUCCUCAAGGAGUGGUUCAAAUUUACAAAGCCAAUACUUUGUUGCACUUAAAAUUCAACUUGUUGUCGAUCGUAAAAGAUAUUUCACAACGUUAAAAUUCAUCGAUUUGUGUUGAAUCAGUUGAAAACGAUUAUAUAUGUUUAGCUAUACAAAAGCUUCGUUAAAAUUUCAUUAAAUGUUAUUUGAUACAUGUUGAUUUUUGACAAUAUUUAGUUACUUAGUUGUAAUGCAUUAUUUCGUUAAAAAGGACAAACAACUGGAUACUCUAUACCACAUCUUUAAAGUUAGUAGCCUCUUUUGACAUUGUUCUAUUGAAUAUAUAAACGAUGAACUCAUAUGAUAAUGGUUGCAACGAUGAUUUCACCAAAAAAGAAUAUUUCAAAACGGUGAUGACUUUUAAUGAAAAUCUACCAUACGAAAGACUGAUACAUUUUUGGCAGAUGUCCCCGUUUUGGAACAUUUACCAUUUCGGGAUGCACUUGAGUGCACAACUUUCUGUUUUGGUGGCUAUUAUCACCUAAAGAUCGGACCGUGACGUUCUCCCGUGAUUCCAUCACAUCACUACUCAUCUUCAGUUUUCAGAAAGGAAAGAUAGGGUUCCACAAUUCUCUACACUCUACACACUAUAAAUUACAAUAAUGAAGCAGAAGAACUGUUGUCAUUUUUAUAAACAAAACAAUAAACUAUCAGAAGACAAAUA